GAAUUCGACUUUUACAGAAAAUAAUUGUUUUUAUAUAUUUCCAGGCAUAGGCAGAUAGAUCAACAUUCCCAUUGGUCCGGGUUUCUUAACAUUUAUUAGCCAUAACUCCUGUUAGUUGGCCUACAGCUGAAGCACGUACCUGGUGUGUAAAGAAAAAACAAUCCACCCUAGCAGAAAUGAUAAACUACAAAUAUGCUUGUUCAUGGUGUUCACUCGGUGUAUAUUAUAGAAAAACAUACAUAAAAAAAUAUUUAUAACAUUUUAUUUCUUAACUGUUCGUCUGCGUCCCGAUCUUUUUCUGGUAUUCUUUUUCAGAGUGUUUACGUUUAUAUUGUAACUAAAAUAUAUGUAAUUAUAUGUACUUAUAUGCAGUGCACGUUAAACUG